UCAAAACCACCGAAAAUCUGUAAAAUUAUUCACCGAACAGUUCUGUUGAAAUCUGCGAUGUACGCACACUUAAAAUAAAUCGCAGAUUUCUUACAGAUCACGCCAGAUAGUCAUAUUGCUUCCGAUACUGCUGAGCUGAGAGCGAUAUAUUCUGCCUCACUGGACGACGUAGCCACAGUUGUUUGCUUUUUACUUGACCAGCUGACGAUGUUGCCAAAUAUCAGAAAAGCACAUCCGCUCACCGAUUUACUGGGUCGUAUGAAUAAAAAGUAGCAAAACUCAACGCUUGUAGUAUCUACUCAAAAAUAAAGUCCACAGAGAAAACUACAUGUUUGAUAUGAAUAAAAACAUUUUCGAACUUAUGGCAUAUGCUACAUUCGAACUUAGCCUUUACUACAGUUUACUACCAUUUACUACACGGAGAAACGUCAAAACAAAAUAGACCCCAUGAUGACGAUGAUGAUUUCAUCAUUUUUUGCGGCUAAUCAACAAAAGACAUGUCUGUUUUGUUUGUUUUCCCUAAAUUGGACUUCUAUUUUCAAGAACAAAGCCGAUUCGUUUCGAUUCUGAUGAAUUAUCUGCAUUUGAAACAUGAGUAGCAACGUCUUGAGCAGACUACAAGAAAUCAGUAGUAAACUCUUGUUUUAUUCAUACCGAAUCAGUUGUUUGUAGUAUGUUCGAAAUGUGUAGUGUAGUGAAGUCUCUUUUAUUCAUACGAACAUGUUCCACAAGUGACGUUUACUACUGAAAAUGUAGUAAAGUUGAACUUACUAUCCUCGGUAUCUGAUGCCCAGUCGGCGUCAACGGAACCCACCAAUGGUUUGGCAGAUUUGGUACGCUUGUACUCCAGACAUUUUCCUUUCGUCUUUUUGAUGUGCCGGACUACUCUCUUGAGGCUUUGUCAAUGUUGAAUUGUUGGAGCCUGUUGAAAUCUGCCUAGGAACCCUAUGGGAUAACAAAUAUCCGGCCUGGUUCACAGCAUCACGUACAUCAACGACCCGAGAGGUUCUCUAUAGGGCUGCGUCGUUGAAUCUCCAGAGCGUGUUAGCUGGAUCCUCUUUUCCUAUGGGUGAUUUCACCGGAUUGCAGUCUGUCAUUUCAAAACGGUCUAGAAUCUUAUCGACGGCCGUAAGCUUCCUCGCUUUUCGUUGUACACCAAACGCAUGCCAAGGAAAUGGGUAACUUCUCCACAAUCUGACAUUGCAAACAUCGUAGGUAAACAUUUUUUCAACUCCCUAAUUGUUCCUGGAUUCUUACCGCAAAUCAACGGAUCGUCUACGUAUAGCACAAUGUAUAUUUCAUCUUCGUCUUUAAUUCUAGUGUAAAGGCAAUAGUCAUGUCGGGAGCGUACAAAUCCGAGUUUCAUUAAUUUCUCAUUAAAUUUUUUCCAGCAUCUGGGAGAUUGUUUUAAACCAUACAGAGACUUGAGCAGCCGACAUAUACAGUAUUCGAUGAUGCCUUGACUCCAAGGAUUUUUUCCCCAUGUGUUUUUGCAUAUGCGAUGUUUUCGUGAUUUGGGCACGGAAAAUCAAAAUCCCGGCCCCAUUUAAAAUGCACGGAGACCAAAAUCCGGCGGAAGAUUUUCCCGAGGUUUAAGGUAACCUUCACGUCCAUGUAAUGGAAAGAAAAGCCUAGAUGAACGCCAACGGAUAACACAGUUCGUAUUGUGGCAAGUUUUGCGUCAGGAGCGAAGGUCUCCUCGUAGUCCAGUCCAGACUUUUGGAGAAAACCUUUUGCUACGAGCCGAGCCUUAUAUCGCGUGGAGAUACCGUCCACUUCAUUUUUGACUCGAAACACCCACUUGGCUUUGAAAGGUUUUACACCAUCAGGGCACUUGACAAAGCGCCAAACGUUAUUUGCCGUCAUCGAUCUUAAUUCGUCCUCGGUAGCGAAAGCUGUUUAUCCUCGCGUUGCAUGAUGUCAUCGUAACAUAUGGGGAUAUCUGUGGAGAUUGAGCCGCCAGAAGUUGCUCUAUAAUUUACAAAAAAGUCAAACAACUUACCAGGUAAAAGCACUGUGAAUUUCACUUAUAUUAUUGGUAAGUCGGCUUUACCUAUAUAUGAGUAAAUUAAUUUACUCAAAUUUGGAUGAAAAAAUAAUGUUUUCAUUAGAUUAACGAACCUGUAGUGGCGAUAAGAGUCCUUCAAAACAGAAACGCAGAAACUGUUCGUUGACAAAUAAUGGUCUUUCGAUAUCUAAAAAACGAAUGAAAACUAUCGCAAGAAUGUACCGCGACCACUGUUGUCUUCAAGCGCAGCGGGUUCGUGAAAUUAUUUCCAUAAUCCACAGCCGGAGGUAUACACUAUACAAGAUGAUAAAGACCAAUACCGCUUGCUAGGUAUCCAGCACCCUAACAAGUAGCUGCCGCUUUUCCCAGAGGCCCCGAAGCUAAAAUCUAAUCAGAUACAACCGGUAUCCAAAUCAGAGGAAGCUGAAUUUUCCCAUUCAGUUGGCUCGACGGUAUGGCCUUUAUAACAACUUUUCUCAUGCACCGUGUGACACACGGAUAUUGACCUAAGGACUGCAUCUACUAUUCCGUUACGAGUGGACCAAAUUGCCCAGUAGGUACAUGAAUGGAUUACUGCUGAUUAAUUAGCGGGAAGUACAGGAUUGCGUGCACGCAACAGUCUCCAGGUGUACGACAGGAUUCUUCAAUUCCAACUGAUCGUGCUGCAUCCCAGAAUAUGUCCGCUAUACCUUGAGCCUCUGAGGAGGUUUGGCAUCAUGAUUCCCGUUCCAACUCUUACUAUUAGUGGACCUUGUAAAUUUCUCCGUCAGCUCAUGCUGCAGCGGCUGUUUAAUGCAUUGUUGAUUUAUAAUUUGCUUAAUUGUAUAUUUGUCUUGCUUUAAUAAAUCGGUUUUUACCCGUUUCCAAUUAAA